rnacentral:rRNA from 1 species
GACGAACGCUGGCGGCGUGCUUAACACAUGCAAGUCGAACGAUGAAGAAGAGAAACGCGAACUUCGGUUCAAAUUUCACUUCGGAUUAGUGGCAGACGGGUGAGUAACGCGUGAGCAACCUACCUCUUACAAAGGGAUAGCCUCGGGAAACCGUGAUUAAUACCAUAUGACACAUUCAUAAGGCAUCUUAAGAAUGUUAAAGCUACGGCGGUAAGAGAUGGGCUCGCGUCCCAUUAGCUAGUUGGUGAGGUUACGGCCCACCAAGGCGACGAUGGGUAACCGGCCUGAGAGGGUGAACGGUCACAUUGGAACUGAGACACGGUCCAAACUCCUACGGGAGGCAGCAGUGGGGAAUAUUGCACAAUGGAGGGAACUCUGAUGCAGCGACGCCGCGUGAGCGAUGAAGGAAUUCGUUUCGUAAAGCUCUGUUCUAUGGGAAGAAAAGGACUGUACCAUAGGAGAAAGCCCCGGCUAAAUACGUG